rnacentral:snRNA from 1 species
ACGCCUAUUUCAACAUCAUAUAUGCUAACAUUGGAACCACACAGAGAAAAUUAGCUGGCCCCUGAGCCAGAGGGACAUGAACAUCCAUGAAGAGGCUUCUAUGGGC